rnacentral:rRNA from 1 species
CCAAUAGCGUAUAUUAAAGUUGCUGCAGUUAAAAAGCUCGUAGUUGAAUUUCGGGACCAUCAUGUCGGUCGUGCCUCGGUACGUACUGGCAUUGUUGGUUUCUACCUUCUGACGAACCAUGAUGUCAUUUAUUUGGUGUCGUGGGGAAUCAGGACUGUUACUUUGAAAAAAUUAGAGUGUUUAAAGCAGGCUCACGCUUGAAUACAUUAGCAUGGAAUAAUGAAAUAGGACGUUUGAUUCUAUUUUGUUGGUUUCUAGGAUCGACGUAAUGAUUAAUAGGGAUAGUUGGGGGCAUUAGUAUUCAAUUGUCAGAGGUGAAAUUCUUGGAUUUAUUGAAGACUAACUACUGCGAAAGCAUUUGCCAAGGAUGUUUUCAUUAAUCAAGAACGAAAGUUAGGGGAUCGAAGACGAUCAGAUACCGUCGUAGUCUUAACCAUAAACUAUGCCGACUAGGGAUCGGAUGAUGUUAAUUUUUUUAAUGACUCAUUCGGCGCCUUACG